rnacentral:tRNA from 1 species
CUGGCUGGGGCGUUUAGUUGUUAAUUAAAAUUUUACGGGAUCGAAGCCCGUCAGUCUGU